GAUGAACGCUGACAGAAUGCUUAACACAUGCAAGUCAACUGUGGCGGACGGGUGAGUAACGCGUAAAGAACUUGCCUCACAGAUAGGGACAACAUUGGGAAACGAAUGCUAAUACCUGAAACUGUGAGAGAGCUUUGCGUACCAUGAGCUAGUUGGGGAGGUAACGGCUCACCAAGGCGAGGAUGGGUAGCCGGCCUGGGAGGGGGAGCGGCCACAAGGGGACUGAGACACGGCGCGUACUCCGAUGGGGGGCAGGAGUGGGGAAUAUUGGCCAAUGGACCAAAGUCUGAUGCAGCAAUUCUGUGUGCAAGAUGAAGUUUUCGGAAUGUAAAGUUCUUUCAGUUGGGAAGCGGUACCUACAGAAGAAGUGACGGCUAAAUACGUGCCAGCAGCCGCGGUAAUAC
rnacentral:rRNA from 1 species